GACGAACCGUGCGAACGUUGUUCGGAAUCACUGGGCUUAAAGGGCGCGUAGGCGGCUUGCCAAGUCAGGGGUGAAAUCCUGCAGCUUAACUGUAGAAGGGCCUUUGAUACUGGCGAGCUCGAGGGAGGUAGGGGUAUGUGGAACUUCCGGUGGAGCGGUGAAAUGCGUUGAUAUCGGAAGGAACGCCGGUGGCGAAGGCGGCAUCCUGGACCGGCAUUGACGCUGAGGAGCGAAAGCUAUGGGAGCAAACGGG
rnacentral:rRNA from 1 species